rnacentral:rRNA from 1 species
GCCCUUUUCCGGUUGAUCCUGCCGGAGGCCAUUGCUAUCGGAAUCCGAUUUAGCCAUGCUAGUCGCACGGGUUGGACCCGUGGCGGACAGCUCAGUAACACGUGGCCAAACUACCCUGUGGACGGGGAUACUCUCGGGAAACUGAGGCUAAUCCCCGAUAGAGCUUCCAUCCUGGAGUGGAGGAAGUUCGAAAGUUGCGCUGCGGCGCCACAGGAUGUGGCUGCGGCCGAUUAGGUAGACGGUGGGGUAACGGCCCACCGUGCCAGUAAUCGGUACGGGUGAUGAGAGUCAGAACCCGGAGACGGUAUCUGAGACAAGAUACCGGGCCCUACGGGGCGCAGCAAGCGCGAAACCUUUACACUGCACGUCAGUGCGAUAAGGGGAUUCCGAAUGCCAAGGCAUACAGUCCUCGCUUUUCUGGACCCUAAGGAAGUCCAGGAAC